rnacentral:lncRNA from 1 species
GCUGGGUUUCAAAGUCAAGAUUUAUUAAUUCUUCAAAUGUUCAAGCUAUACAAAUUCUGUUCUGCUGAUGUGCAUACAACAUGUUUACAACAAAACAUAGUAGAUGUUUAAUAAAAUAUUUAUCUCCUUAAGGACUGAAGAGGCCAAAAAGCUUCAACCAUGAGUUAAAUACGGGAUAUACAUUUAUAGGUACUACCAAAGUCUGACAUAAAUACAUAUGUAACACAGCCAUGAGAAACUGUGACCAUAGGAUCACACACUCUACUACAUCUGUAUUAAGGUAUAAAACAAGGUUACAUCACAUAGACUAAGCUGAUUUAAGGACUCUUUUAUCAGGUGACAAAAGCUGUGACCAUGAACCAUCAUUUCUCUAAGACUUAAGCAUACAAUUUAAUUACCAUAAGUCACACACAGACUAUAGCAUCCCCUUACCCUCCCUCUGUGUCAUCUCCUAAACAGGCUGACACAGCACACCUGGCCCCUCUUGUGAUGUGUGCAGUGACCAUUAAUGGUGGCGGUCGGUCAGUCGUGGAAAUAGCAAUAUUGGGCACAUGCCCAUUCUACCUCGCCACUGCCAUUAAGGAAAGAAUCGAUUAAAAGUGACUCAAACCAACGCCUCCUCUAAUCUACUUGAUCACUUUAAACAAUAAAAGCUAAAAGCACACAAGGGUCGCCUCUUCCAUACAAUCUUUACGUGGUGAAGUAUUUAAUCCAGGUUUGGAUCACCCAAAGUUAGACAGUGAUUCUCUCCUGCGUGCACGGAUUCUGUUGGGCCUGACUCAUGAGGCACACGGAGAGAUGAGUCACGGGCAAGCCUAUUUGACCAUAUGAGGCUAUUUUAAGGCAAGUUCUCUCUCUCUCUCUCUCUCUCUCUCUCUCUCUCUCUCUCUCUCUCUCUCUCUCUCACACACACACACACACACACACACACACACACGCCAUUCAUCCACCUAUGGACUUUAUCAUAUGACAGUCCUAGGAAGGAAGCUGAGGUACAACGUACUCAACAUAAAUACAGACAUCAAACUGCAGAGACAUUCAUGGCUACAUCCCUCCCAUAACUAAAUGAGAACUCUUCCAAAUGUUUGUAUAUGACCCCAAAUACCCGAGUCUGAAUUCUAGAAAAAGUACUUUAAAUUAAAUUCUCCAAUAUCUUUGCAAUAAGGCUUUCCACACAAGGCUAAUUUUACUAUAAGGUUACUUUGACAGAAUUCUAUAAAAUAACACAAAUGUGCACCAAAACUCAAGCUAUUCUGUACUAAAGAGAGAGGCCUCGGUCUUAAAAGGGAUGGCAGGGUGAUUUAUUGAAAUUAUUCUUACUCCAAAAUCAAAAUUGAAAUACAUAGAAUUAAAUGAUUAUUUUUUUAAGCUUAAAAGCUGAACUACCAUGUUACAGAUGGCCAAACGUAUAAAGCACUUUAUUUAGUGCAGACAGACACACACUUUACCCUUACAUACAUAAUUCAACUAGAACACGAUUCAUAACAUAUAGAUUACAAAUUUUUUAAAAAAUCUGUAUAAUGCAAACUUUGCAGAAGUAGAUCUAGUCUUUACUUUCAAGUUAGAAAAGGCCUGACGGGUUCUCUUUGGGCAUUUCCAGGCGAUGGCUUUCUGAGAUAAAGAGUAACACAGAUCUGAGUCACAGGCCAUUUGGUGCAUUCACGUGCGAGCUACCAAUCUGGAGCCCUAGAGGCUAAGAACGAUGGAUGCUACACACUGCAGAAGAAAAAUACAAGAGCUUUCUGCUCUAACCCGAGACUUAGUCUAUGUGUUUUUUAAUUACUGGAUAGACUGAUGGAAUGCCAGUCAGUAAAAAUUUGAUUACCAGCUAGAGUCACAUUCAAAAUGUUUUCCUUAAAACUGGAAGGAGCUCCACAGUGUUCCCAAUACAAAGAUAAACUGGUAAGUAAAUAAACUAAUGAUAGGGAGAGCGCUUUAAAAAGUUACCACACUCAUUUCCUCGACCAAACCCUCGCUGACAUUAAGAGAGAAAAAUUUGAAUUAUUUUUUUGCCCAAUAAUUUAAUCAUUUACUACGGAAAAAACGUUGCUUUAGGGGUAGGUUUGGCAGGAAUCGCUUAUUACGUUUCCAGAUUAGAUUAAAAUAAAAGAAACAAGACAGGAUUAAAAAAAAUUAAGGCUACCUAACUGAACAAAUAAAAAUGAUGAUGGUGGUGGUGAUGAUGAUGGUGGUGGUGGUGGUGAUGAUGAUGAUGUUAGCAAAUGCUAACUGAGCAACUGUAGAGAUUCACAACCCAAAUUCCCCUCGUCCAGGAUGCCAGCUGCCAUCAGGUUGUGAGGUCCCGGCUCAUUCUGUUGUAGGAAGAUGUAAAAGCAUCCUUGGGAGCUGGCGAGAUGGCUCAGCGGGUAAGAGCCACCGUUCUUCCGAAGGUCCUGAGUUCAAAUCUCAGCAACCACGUGGUGGCUCACAACCACCCAUAAUGAGAUCUGACGCCCUCUACUGGUACGUCUGAAGUCAGCUACAGUGUACUUACGUAUAAUAAUAAAUAAAUCUUUGGGCCGGGGCAAGCAGGGACUGAGCGAGUGGAGUUGACUGGAGCAAAUGGGGCCAACUGGAGCUAGCAGGGUUGACCAGAGUGAGCAGGGCUGCCCGGAGCAAGCAGAGCCAACCAGAGAGAGCGGGGCCGACCUGGGCGAGCAGAGGUCCUAAAAAUUCAACUCCCAACAACCACAUAAAGGCUCACAACCAUCUGUAUAGCUACAGUGUACUCAUAUACAUUAAAUAAAUAAAUAAAUAAAUAAAUAAAUAAAUAAAUAAAUAAAUAAAUAAAUCUUUUUUUAAAACGCCUUGGUGGGUAGCACUGGUGCCAGUCCCAGAGCUGUUGCGAGCCGUUCCGAGGCUGGAAAUGUGCUAACCGUGAAGGUGGGUGAGGCCAAUUACAGUGUAUGUUCUCCUCUAGCUGGAAAGAUCUGAAGUCUACUUAUUUAGUAAUUAAAUAAACAGCCUCCACUUCAAUUCAAGCCCACUUGCACUUCCAGACACAGAUACCAACCAGCCACACCUUCUGCCCAUGGAAUGAGUCAUUCUUCUUCUCGGAAGGAGAACAAUUAGGAGACUUGAAUAAAACCCACUUUCCACUCUGGGAUAUGGCAGGUGGGUCAACUGUUAUGAUAUCUAAGUAACUUGCUGCUUCCUGUUCCUCUGUGCCCAGGGUCACAUGCUAUCAGUGCGGAGGCCGGGUUUCAGGCUUAUUCCGUGCCACAUCAUGGCACUCCCUACAUAUCCUUGCAAAGGAAACCACCCAUAGUGACUUUCUCAUCCCCCUAAAACUGCCUGGCUGUGGAAAACCUCUUCCCCAACCGAGGCGAUGGUAAGGCCAAAUUGAUGUCCCUGGCCAUCAGAACGGGAAGAGGGCAAUCACCCAGGAGAAUCCAAAGGGUGACGAUACUGAGGAUGCCACGUGGGACAGGAUCAUGGCAACACUGAUCCCUGACCCCGAGGGAAAGGAGGAGACACGCUCAGCCAGGUGGCUGCUCCACGUUCUUACAGUAACAUCUGUGUCCCUGGACCUGAUGAGUUUGUAAAUAUAGGGUUAUAGAUAUUGCCACUACACGCACACACGCAAGCAAGCACGCACAGCAGUAAGUAGCUCUUCCCUGAGACCUCGGCAUUUGGAAGGCUGAAGCAAGAGGAAGGAUUUCCAGCGAGAGGUCAGACUGGGCUAUCUAACUUCAGAUUUGAGACUCUCUCUGAAACAAAACCAGGGAGCUGGUGUUGCACAGUACAACAGUGCUAAGCCUCAGCGCAAACGAUGCUCUCUAAUAGUUAUUUGUUUUUAUUUUGUUUGUUUCUUAUGUGUGUGGUGGGUGUUUUGCCUUCAUAUGUGUAUAUGUACUGCAUGUGUGUAGUCCCCAGAAGAAGGUGUUGGGGCCCCGAGAGUUGGAGUUACAGACAGCUAUGAGUAGCCCUGUGGAUGCUAAGAAUCAAAACCCAGUCCUCUGGAAGAGCAGCCAGAGCUCUUAACUGCAGUCGUUUCUCCAGCCCCCAAAAGAUGUGUCUCUAAGACUUUUGGCUGGAAUAAUCUUUUCUCUACACAAAUUUUAUUAGAACAAUAAGGGUCAGAUAUUUGUUUUCAGAAUACUUAUGAAUAUUAAACAAAAAAUAAUAAAACAUCAGUACAUUAUUUUUUAUUUUAAAAAGUUGCUGUAAUUUUCAUUACUCUCUAAAUGCUAGGAAUUAUAGCCAUUAAACAAGCAUUUGGUAACUAAGAAUUGGGGAGCCUAUUGACUUUACAGACAAGUGUUAUAAAUAGUACUGAAUACAUUUAUUCUACUGUUGCAGCAAAGUAUAUCUCUAUGAAUGCUUUUUCCACGAAACUCGUCUUAUAAAUAUAUUGCCCGUCAGUGUAACCCAAAUCUAGGUAUAAGACCCCACUUGGUUUGCUAUCCAUGUUUGCACUGAAGAUCAGUAAUAUUUGCUCAGCAUAUUCAUAAGAUUUACUGAAAAAUAUAGCCAUCAGCCAAAGCCCUUCGGGACAUAUGUAUGAAAUUAGAGAAAUGUGGUGUUCAGUUAAAUACUACAUUAGCCAUGUCACUCGUGAAGAUUUGUAGGGGGGUGGCUCUGAUGAUCUGACCAGGAGUCUGUUCAUUCACUCUGAAGGUCUCCCCCCCCCCCCAUUACGUUUUUUGAUAAAGAUGACAGUGACCAAUGGCUUGGGGAAAAAGAAAGAGGCGGGACUUCCAGGUUCCCACGGGCUAGGAGAGAGGAAGAGAAUGGACAAACCUGGGAGAGAGAGAGUGGACAGACUUGGACCUACAGGGGAGAUCUUUCAAACUGCAGAUGGCAAGGGAAAGAGGCGGAAAAGCGUCCUGGGCGGCAAGAGCAAUGGGCUUCACUGAAGGUACCUGAGCCACAGAGCUGGUUUAGAGGGGUUGGGCUGGACGUGAAGGUAAGGGCAUGUUAACCUUGGGAGGCUUACAAGUGCCCGGCCACUGAGCUAAAAAGUAUAUUAAAAAUAAGUUAAUGUAAGUGUGUGUACAUUUCAUCCGCAGAUCCGAGAUAGCUCCUGGGCUGGUGUGCACAUGCGACUCCACCAGGAGCUCAAAUCGGUGUAGACAAAACUAACCACAACAAAGACUGUCAGCAGGAACCCAUUAUAAGUCUGUCAUGCUAAAACACCUACAAGUGGCCUUCAGACAUCUGAAUAGCUGUUAUUUGCAGAUAAUAGAAAUGUUUCCUUUACUUCUUUCUUUCUUUUCUUUUUUUAAAAGAUUUAUUUAUUUUAUGUAUAUGAGUACACUGUAGCUGUCUUCAGACUCACCAGAAGAAGGCAUCAGAUCCCAUUACAGAUGGUUGUGAGCCACCAUGUGGUUGCUGGGAAUUGAACUCAGGACCUCUGGAAGAGCAGUCGGUGCUCUUAACUGCUGAGCCAUCUCUCCAGCCCCCUUUACUUCUUUCUUAAAGGGAUUUCAGGAUGAUUAAAUUCAUGAUGAAUGACAACAAUUAAAAAAAAAUCUAGACUUAGUAUUUAUAUUUUAAAAAGCCUUAAACCAAUGAACAGAUCGUUAUAAAAUGUUUAAGAUAAAAAAAUAACUAUGGGGUGGGCUGUACACAUGAGUGAAGGUGUCUGCAGAGACCAGAUGAGGGCAUCAGAUCCUCUGGAGAUGGAGGUAGCUAAGAGUCAGUUUUGUGCACCCCCACAGACAUAACGGUGGCUACACUCUUCAUGGCUUGAGAUAAAGACUGUCAAUGUAGACCAGGCUGCUCUCAAAUUUGGAAUCCUCCUGUCUUAGUCUUUUGAGUAUUGGGAUUAUUGCAUAGAAUGGCUGCAUAUGGUAACAACACCCAUUAAGCAAAGGCCCCUACUGUGAACACACGACUAAAAGAAUUAAAGAAAAAAAAUUAGCCAGAUACCUGUGAACGCAUUUAGCUCAAUUUUCUUCUAAGGCAGGUUAACUAUUAAGUCUCAUUUUUGAGACACUUCCUUUAGAACUCAGCAACAUGUUUCCUAAGUAGAAAUCUAUUACGGAUAGAUACAGGCUUUAGUUCUACCAGGAAGCUCAAUGUUCAAGCUUUGCUAUGGUGGCAUCCCUAAAACAUGCAGAGAGAUAGAGAAAAGAGGGAGGGAGG